GCCCCUAUAGCUCAGUCGGCAGAGCAGUGGACUUUUAAUCCAUGGGUCGUGGGUUCGAUCCCCACUGGGGGCA
rnacentral:tRNA from 1 species